GACAGAGGGGGCAAGCGUUUGUUCGGAAUUACUGGGCGUAAAGCGCGCGCAGGCGGCCCUUUAAGUCUACCCGUGAAAUGCCGGAGCUCAACUCCGUGCACGCCGGGGGAUACUGGGGGGCUGGAGACAGGUAGAGGCAAGCGGAAUUCCGGGUGUAGCGGUGGAAUGCGUAGAUAUCCGAAAGAACACCUGAGGCGAAGGCGGCUUGCUGGGCCUGAUCUGACGCUGAGGCGCGAAAGCGUGGGGAGCAAACAGG
rnacentral:rRNA from 1 species